rnacentral:lncRNA from 1 species
UAAUACCAAAGAAGAAGAUCCCUUUGCGUUUGUAGCGUCCAUUCUGUUUGUCCUUAGCCGUGCACUGUAGCUAGCUAGGAAGUUGAUGUCAUCCCAUUUCACAUGAUGUGUAGCGACGUCCAAACAUCAAAACAUUGCUAGCAAAUUGUAAAAAAAAAAAAAUGGAUAGUAACAAUAUAAUUCCAUUAAAUAACGACAGUAGACGCUGUAUUUUCUUUAAUACAGAUUCUGACGACUAUCGAUGUGUGGUGAUUCUCACAGUGAAGCGAGCCACAGGCACCUUCUCACUGAUAGGAUGCUUUUUCAUGCUGUUUGUAAUCUGGCUUCUCCGCCGGUAUCACUCCUUGGCCCAGAAGAUGAUUUGCAGUCUGACAGUUGCGGCCUUCUUUGACAGUGUAGCGUAUGUCAUCGUGAGUCACUGUCACCACAGACACACACGUUCCCAUAAACACAUGCACACCGAGAGCUACAGAGUGAGCUCUCCCCUGUUUUCUUGUCUCCUCUCUCUCCUUCCUCAGGGUGAUACCCAUCCAGAGGGGAGUCUGUGUAACUUCCAGGCCUGGUGGCUCACUUAUUUUGACUGGAGUGCCUUGGCCUGGGUGUGCCUGAUCACAGUGAACCUCUACCUUAACCUGGUCAAAGAGAUGAGCACCAGCCGCUACGAGCUACUGUACCACCUGAUGGCCUGGGGGGUGCCCCUGGUGAUGGCCUCCCUGCCCCUGUUCAGUGGAUACUACGGCCCAGCAGGAGCCUGGUGCUGGAUCACAGGCAACCACGUAGCUUGGAGAUUUGGGAUAUGGUACGUCCCACUCUUCACCCUCAUCUUCCUCAUGAUCUGCUGCUAUGCCAGAAUAAUCUACGUAGCCAAUGAGAGGAUGCAGUCAUGGUUUGGCACCUUUAACCCAGAGAGGGAGAGGAGAAAGGUGUCUUUGGCUGAGGAGAUAAAGCCGUUGAAGUGGUAUCCAUCCGUUUAUCUCCUGGUGUCUCUGUUCCCCCUCAUCAACAGGCUCCAUAAUGCGUUCUACCCCCAGGACCCAGUGUUCUCUCUUACUUUGCUCCAUGUCCUUUCAGCCCCUCUCCAUGGCUUGGCCAACGCAUUCGUCUUUGGCCUGGACAGAGACACCUGGAGCCAGCUCAGUCCUACAGGCAUACAGUUGGCGCUGCAAUCUCGGCUGUGUGACAGGACGCGUAUCAGGGAGUACCAUCCUGGGGCGGUGCACUACACACAGGCUGAGCUGGGGGACUUCAGUGACGAGGAUGAUGAUGACACCAACGUCCUUUUCUACUCCCCUGACAUGACCCUGAAAGACAGAGGACCCUAA